rnacentral:tRNA from 1 species
GGGUGUAUAGCUCAGUGGUAGAGCACACGCUUAGUAAGUAUGAGGUCCUGGGUUCAAUCUCUAGCACCUCCA